UACGUAGGGUGCGAGCGUUAAUCGGAAUUACUGGGCGUAAAGCGUGCGCAGGCGGUUUUGUAAGACAGAUGUGAAAUCCCCGGGCUUAACCUGGGAACUGCGUUUGUGACUGCAAGGCUAGAGUACGGCAGAGGGGGGUGGAAUUCCUGGUGUAGCAGUGAAAUGCGUAGAGAUCAGGAGGAACACCGAUGGCGAAGGCAGCCCCCUGGGCCUGUACUGACGCUCAUGCACGAAAGCGUGGGGAGCAAACAGGAUUAGAUACCCUAGUAGUCC
rnacentral:rRNA from 1 species